rnacentral:lncRNA from 1 species
CUGGAGGACAAGUUUCUCUGGUUUUAUUGGAAAGCAAAUGGAUCUUCCCUGGUGCCAUGUUGGAGGGUGAUUUUCAACGGGCUUCUGAGAGAUCUUCAAAUAUUCUGGAAACAGUCUUUAUUAGAUAUGUGACCUGUGCAGUCAAAUGAAAAAUGGAACAUGUGCAUGACUAUGGAGGUGUUAAGAAAACUACAGCACAUCACAAUCACAUCCUGGAGGAAACUACUGGGGAAAUGGAAGCUGUUGAGUCUGCAUGAGGAAGUUCCCACAAAGUCACCAGUUGAUGGCCAAUUGGAUUGUUUCCAAGUUUCAGCUGUCACGAAAUGUGCUACUAUGAACAUGGGUGGACAUAUAUCACUGUGAUCCUCUUCUGUUGCCAGUUCUGGGGGUCCAGGUGGUUGAGAAUCAGAGCAUUCCAUCUCAUUUCCCUUUGGAGUUGCUGUUGGCCCAGAACCCUUCUACUCUGCACUGGGAGCUGUGGUACAUUGCCCUGGAAGACUCCCCUGCACUGGCAACUGUUGCACAUCAACCCGGAAGCCUGCUCUGUGGUGGGAGCUGUCUCAUGUAGACCUAGAAGCCUCCUCUAUGCCGGGAGUGGUGGUAAGUUGGCCCAGAAGCCUCCUACUCUACACUGGGAGCUGUGGCACAUCAACCUGGAAGUCUUCUCUGCACUGAGAGCUGUAGCAUGUCGACCUGGAACCCUUCUCUGUGCUGGGAGCUGUAGCACAUCGACCCGGAAGCCUCCUCCAUGCUGGGAACACUGGUAUGUUGGCCCAGAAGCCUCCUACUCUGCACUGGGAGCUGUGGCAUGUUGCUCCAGAAGAUUUCUCUGUGCUGGGAGCUGUAGUAUGUUGACCCAGAACCCUCCUCUGCGCUGGGAGCAGUGGUAGGUUGACCCAGAAGCCUCCUACUCUGCACUGGAAGCUGUAGUACAUUGACCUGGAAGCCUCUUCUGCACUGGGAGCUGUAGCAGAGUUUGAUUGAGUUCUAGUAUUUUGUUGUUUAUUUUUUGUCUAGUUGAUCUAUUUGUGAGAAUGGGGUAUUAAGGUUUCCCCACUACUAUUGUAUUAGUGCUUAUAUGAUUUUUCAUAUCCAUUAGUAUUUGUUUUCUAUAGCUGGGCACACUAGUGUUUGGUGCAUAUAUAUUAAUGAUUGUCAUCUCUUCCUCUUGGAUUGUUCCCUUUACAAGGGUGUAGUGUACUUCUUUGUCUCUCUUAAUCAGUUAUGGUUUGAAAUCCACUUGAUCUGCCAAGAGGAUAGCUAGUCCUGCUUUUUUUUUGGUUCCUGUCACAUGGAGUAUUGUUUUCCACCCUUUAACUUUUAGUGUAUAAGUUUCUUUUUGAAUUAAGUGUGUUUCUUGUAUGCAGCAUAUCAUUGGAUCUUGCUUCUUGACCCAUUCUGUCAGUCUAUUUCUUUUGAUUGGUCAAUUGAGACCAUUAACAUUGAUGGUUAUAAUUGCUUUGUAUUGACUUAUCCUUGUCAUGAC